rnacentral:rRNA from 1 species
UACGUAGGGUGCGAGCGUUAAUCGGAAUUACUGGGCGUAAAGCGUGCGCAGGCGGUUUUGUAAGCCAGAUGUGAAAUCCCCGGGCUUAACCUGGGAAUGGCAUUUGGGACUGCAAGGCUGGAGUGUGGCAGAGGAAGGUGGAAUUCCACGUGUAGCGGUGAAAUGCGUAGAGAUGUGGAGGAACACCAAUGGCGAAGGCAGCCUUCUGGGCCAACCACUGACGCUCGAUGCACGAAAGCGUGGGGAGCAAACAGG